AGAAUGAAGGAAUUGUGUUGCGCUCCCCUCAGUCCCUGAGACCCUAACUUGUGAUGUUUACCGUUUAAAUCCACGGGUUAGGCUCUUGGGAGCUGCGGGUCGUGCCUUUGCAUCGCUGAAGGAACUUUUUGAGAGAGAAAAGUUUGUCAGAAGUGAUGGUAAUACACCCUUGAGGCUUCCAUUGUUAGAUGGGAUCAGGUGACCCGAGUGGCAGCUCCUGGCUUCUGUAAAAGUAGGCAUAGUAUGUUAGCAUCCUGUGUUGGCUGCUAUG
ensembl:sense_intronic